CCAUGUAAGCACUCAGUGAAGCUCAUGUAAGAAGAAGGAUCAAACCCAUGUGAGGACCCGUAAGUAGAAGAACCAGCAAUGGAAUAAAGAGGCUUUUGACUAUUAUAAGCACCAGUUUCAUCGAUGACAUCGUAGUGAUCUUCAUGGAAAGAAGCAUGGUAGUAGAGGUCUUUGUGUUCAUCAGACAUGGAGAAAGAAGAAGAAGAAGAACAAAGAGAUUAAAGGGUUUGGAUUUUAUGCGAUG
rnacentral:misc_RNA from 1 species